AGAACGAACGCUGGCGGCAUGCCUAAUACAUGCAAGUCGAACGAACACUUCGGUGUUAGUGGCGCACGGGUGCGUAACGCGUGGGAAUCUGCCCUUGGGUUCGGAAUAACAGUUGGAAACGACUGCUAAUACCGGAUGAUGACGAAAGUCCAAAGAUUUAUCGCCCAGGGAUGAGCCCGCGUAGGAUUAGCUAGUUGGUGAGGUAAAGGCUCACCAAGGCGACGAUCCUUAGCUGGUCUGAGAGGAUGAUCAGCCACACUGGGACUGAGACACGGCCCAGACUCCGUACGGGAGGCAGCA
rnacentral:rRNA from 1 species